ensembl:lncRNA
AUGCUUCCAUGGUUUCUCAUGUUGAAAUUUUUAAGCUCUUCACCCAGAGGAUUUUUAAGUAUCAAGGUCUGUGAUAAUUCAGUGACCACCAGGGGGCAACAGGACUUUUGGGUGCCCUGGCCAAUCAAGUCCACACUGAACAAGGUUCUGAGUACAUGUGCAGAUCAUGCAGGAUUGUUGCAUCGAGUUAUGAGCAUCUACUGCCCUACAAUUCUUACAAUGGAUGCUUGGAAAUGAAAAGAAUUGUGGUCUUUACCUUUUAGAAUGUCACUUUGUACCUAGAAAAUUAGAAGUCCGGGGAAGACUCAAGAUGGCGCUGUGAGAACAACCCAGGAUUGGAUCUCGCGUUGAAUCCGCAAACGGUGAGUCAGAGCUGCAUUUCCAGACUGAUCUUUGUUGCCCACAGGACGGGGAAACUCCCAAGUAUAAAAAAGACAUGGGACGCCAGGCAGUAGGUCUGCCUGGCGAAGCUAGCAGCCAGGGCGGCGGCGGCCGGCCCUACCCAGCAAUCCCCACAGGGCACGCUUGUCCGGGUGCCCUGUUGAACCGGGAACCUGAGACUUCAGAGGGCUGGACUUGAGACUGAAUGAGACUUGGACAGUAGGCCAGCCCAGGGGAUUGCAGGAACAGAUCGUUUGGGAUACCCUGUGGGACGAACAAAACCGCGAUUUCAAACUAUCCCGAGCAGACGGUCCGAGACGCUCUGUGGGGGAGGGGCGUCCACCACUACCGAGGCAACCCGCCCCAACUGAGAUACACACCCACUGUGACGUGACGCAGCCAGCCGUUGCCUAGGCAACCCGUCCCUACUGAGAUACACGCCCACUGCUGAUGCAGCCUGCCGUUGCUGAGGCAACAUGCUACAACGAAGAGACUCCGCCGCAGGGCAUGGCGGAGACCACAGCAGAGCCUGCAGGAACAGGGUGAACCACACAACAGCAGGGCGGAUCCUCAGCAGCCAAACAGUGGCUAGUCUGCCUUCUAGCUGGGCAGGACACCUCAUCGGACAUCCAAAAAUAAAGCCCAAACCCUAAACACAGAGCAUUUGAGAAAAAAAAAAAAGGGUUUUUUAAUGAGCUCUGUUGCAGCAGAAUCAAACAUAGCAGCCUAACAGCCCUGAAUGAACAACAGAGUGCACAGCUCAGCAAUUAAGCCCCUAUAAAGUACAAACUGUCUCCUCAAGCAGCUCCCUGACCCCUCUAUAUCCAAAAGACUGACAUUAGGCAGGCAUCAUCCAGGGACAAAGAUAGCAGAAAAAGAAACUGGGAGCAUCCCUCCCUGUGCCACAGCUGCUAGAGGUGCACCCCAGACAAGCAGGGCCUGGAGUGGACCUCAGAAGUCGUACAGCGAAGGGGUAGACUGGUAGAAGGAAAACCAAGUAACAGAAAUACUUCAUCAUCAACAUUCUGGGUGUCCACUCGGAGACCCAAUCGAAAAGUCAGCAACUACGCAGACGAC